GACGAACGCUGGCGGCGUGUUUAACACAUGCAAGUCGAACGGAAAGGCCUCUUUCGGGGGGUACUCGAGUGGCGAACGGGUGAGUAACACGUGAGUAACCUGCCCUUGACUUUGGGAUAACUUCAGGAAACUGGGGCUAAUACCGGAUAGGAGCUCCUGCUGCAUGGUGGGGGUUGGAAAGUUUCGGCGGUUGGGGAUGGACUCGCGGCUUAUCAGCUUGUUGGUGGGGUAGUGGCUUACCAAGGCUUUGACGGGUAGCCGGCCUGAGAGGGUGGCCGGCAAGGUGGGGACGGAGAGACGGCCAAGAACACAAGGGGGGGAAGAAGGGGGGAAUAGUGAAAAAGGGGUGGAGGCAGGAUGCAGCAACGCGGGGGGGGGGAUGAGGGCGUGGGGGUUGAAACCCGCUUUGGCUCAGGAAGAAGCUUUGUGUGAGGUUAGGGGGAAAAGAGGAACGGGAAAACAACGUG
rnacentral:rRNA from 1 species